rnacentral:siRNA from 1 species
GUAGGCCCGUGACAUAAGCCA